GAUGAAGAACGUAGCGAAAUGCGAUAAGUAAUGUGAAUUGCAGAAUUCAGUGAAUCAUCGAAUCUUUGAACGCACCUUGCGCCCUUUGGCUAUUCCGAAGGGCAUGCCUGUUUGAGUAUCAUGAACACCUCAACUCUCAUGGCUUGCCAUGAUGAGCUUGGACUUUUGGGGGUCUUGCUGGCCUGUGGUCAGCUCCUCUCAAAUGAAUUAGCCUGCCAGUGUUUGGUGGCAUCACAGGUGUGAUAACUAUCUACGCUUGUGGUUUUCCACCAGGUAACCUUCAGUGAUGAAGGUUCGCUGGGGCUCAUAAACGUCUCUCCUCAGUGAGGACAGCUCUUUGAAUGUUUGAUCUCAAAUCAGGUAGGACUACCCGCUGAACUUAAGCAUAUCAAUAAGCGGAGGA
rnacentral:misc_RNA from 1 species